rnacentral:miRNA from 1 species
UCAGGUGUGAGAAUGAUUCGU